rnacentral:rRNA from 1 species
CCCGCCGAUUCGCAUUUCUUUAUCAUGCUGGCAACAGUAAUCCCGGGGACCUCGAAUGUCAGGAUACUCAUCGUGGCUGUGGCAAGGCCCAAGAAGCAUUGCAUACCAAGGGCCGGGUCAAGACCGGUGUCCGACCGCCGCGGUAAUCACCGGCGGCUCGAGUUGGCAACCGCUAUUAUUGUGGUCUAAAGAGGUCUGUACCGCGGCCGGAUAAGUCUUUUGGGAAAUCCAUCUGCUCAACAGUUGAGGCUUUCACAACAUACUGUUCAGCUCUAGACCGGGAGAGGUGAGAGGUACUUCAGGGGUACGGGUGAAAUCUUGUAAACCUUGAGGGACCACCGGAGGAGAAGGCGUCUCACCAUAACGAAGCUUACGGCCCAGGGACCAAUCCUAAGGGCACGAACCGGAUUAAAUACCCGGGUAGUCGAAGCCGUGAACGAUACUCCCUAAGUGUGAACCACUGUGAGACGGGGCAUUGGAGCCCCAUGGAAGCCAUGAAUCGAACCACCUGGGAAGUGCUGUCGCCAAGCGCAAACUUAUCGGACUUGGCGGGCACCA